UUGAUUUUUAAAGAUGUGCUAGCCUUAUUGGCAUGUGCACUCUUCAAAAAACCCAAUAUCCACCUGUGCACACCUUGUAGGCAUUUUGCCUAUGCUUUUUUACACACACCAUUGACAUAUAUGAAUGUAUUUGAUUAACCAAAUGUAAAA
rnacentral:misc_RNA from 1 species